AGUGGCGAACGGGUGAGUAACGCGUGAGUAUCUGCCCUUAGGAGGGGGACAACAGUUGGAAACGACUGCUAAUACCCCAUAUGUCUACGGAUGAAAGAUUUUAUCGCCUGAGGAUGAGUUCGCGUCUGAUUAGCUAGUUGGUGAGGUAAAGGCUCACCAAGGCGACGAUCAGUAGCUGGUCUGAGAGGAUGAUCAGCCACACUGGGACUGAGACACGGCCCAGACUCCUACGGGAGGCAGCAGUGGGGAAUUUUCCGCAAUGGGGGCAACCCUGACGGAGCAAUACCGCGUGCGGGAGGACGGCCUGUGGGUCGUAAACCGCUUUUCUCAGGGAAGAAGACCUGACGGUACCUGAGGAAUCAGCAUCGGCUAACUCCGUGCCAGCAGCCGCGGUAAUACGGAGGAUGCAAGCGUUAUCCGGAAUUAUUGGGCGUAAAGCGUCCGUAGGUGGUUAAUCAAGUCUGCUGUUAAAGAGCGGAGCUCAACUCCGUUUAAGCGGUGGAAACUGGUUGACUAGAGAGUGGUAGGGGUAGAGGGAAUUCCCAGUGUAGCGGUGAAAUGCGUAGAUAUUGGGAAGAACACCGGUGGCGAAAGCGCUCUACUGGGCCACAUCGGACACUGAUGGACGAAAGCUAGGGGAGCGAAAGGGAUUAGAUACCCC
rnacentral:rRNA from 1 species